AAUCCCGUCCGCCGAUUAUCCAAGGGUUCCAGGGUCAAGUUUGUCUGCCCUGGGUGAGUCGGGUCCUAAGGCGAGGCCGACAGGCGUAGUCGAUGGGUAACCAGUUGAUAUUCUGGUACCGGCUUGUCACCGUCCGUGUCGAGGUGUGUGAUGCUAAGCAUGUGAGCUUGUCUUGGGAGUGUUUUUGAUGCUUCUGGGGUGGGUGAGUGUGUGAACCGAUCAUGUAGUAGGCAAGCUGCGGAGGGACGCAGUGAGGUAGCUCAUCCCCGGUGAUGGUUGUCCGGGGCUAAGUGUGUGGACUGUCUGGUAGGUAAAUCCGCUGGGCGUGAAGGUUGAGGCAUGAUGGGGAGCCCAUGGUUGUGGGUGAGUGAGUGAUCCUGUACUGUCGAGAAAAGCUUCGUGAGCGAGGUGGCGGGUCCGCCCGUACCCUAAACCGACACUGGUGGAUAGGUAGAGUAUACGGAGGCGAUCGAGUGAAUCGUGGUGAAGGAACUCGGCAAAAUGCCCCCGUAACUUUGGGAUAAGGGGGACCUGAGCUGUCGUGCACCCGUGCGGUGUGGUGGCGGUGAGGGGCGCAGAGUCCAGGGGGAAACGACUGUUUACCAAAAACACAGGUCCGUGCGAAGUCGUAAGACGAUGUAUACGGACUGACUCCUGCCCGGUGCUGGAAGGUUAAGGGGAACUGUGAGUGUAUGCGUAGCGGUGAACUUAAGCCCCAGUAAACGGCGGUGGUAACUAUAACCAUCCUAAGGUAGCGAAAUUCCUUGUCGGGUAAGUUCCGACCUGCACGAAUGGAGUAACGAUUUCCCUACUGUCUCCACCAUGAACUCGGUGAAAUUGCAUUACGAGUAAAGAUGCUCGUUACGCGCAGCAGGACGGAGAGACCCCGGGACCUUUACUAUAGUUUGGUAUUGGUGAUUGGGACGGUUUGUGUAGGAUAGGUGGGAGACGUUGAUGCGGCCACGCUAGUGGUGGUGGAGUCGUUGGUGAAAUACCACUCUGAUUGUUCUGGUUAUCUCACUGUGGACCGUGAUCCGGUUCAAGGACAGUGCCUGAUGGGUAGUUUGACUGGGGCGGUCGCCUCCUAAAGGGUAACGGAGGCGCCCAAAGGUUCCCUCAGCCUGGUUGGUAAUCAGGUGGUGAGUGUAAGUGCACAAGGGGGCUUGACUGUGAGACUGACAGGUCGAGCAGGGACGAAAGUCGGGACUAGUGAUCUGACGGUGGCUUGUGGAUGCGCCGUCACUCAACGGAUAAAAGGUACCCCGGGGAUAACAGGCUGAUCUUGCCCGAGCGCUCAUAGCGACGGCAUGGUUUGGCACCUCGAUGUCGGCUCGUCGCAUCCUGGGGCUGGAGUCGGUCCCAAGGGUUGGGCUGUUCGCCCAUUAAAGCGGCACGCGAGCUGGGUUCAGAACGUCGUGAGACAGUUCGGUCCCUAUCCGCUGCGCGCGGAGGAAUCUUGAGAAGGGCUGUCUUUAGUACGAGAGGACCGAGACGGACUGACCUCUGGUGUGCCAGUUGUUCUGCCAAGAGCAUGGCUGGUUGGCUACGUCGGGUUGUGAUAACCGCUGAAAGCAUCUAAGCGGGAAGCACGCUUCAAGAUAAGGGUUCCCACAGGAGUGUUCCUGGUAAGGUCCCCGAGAGAUGAUCGGGUUGAUAGGCCAGACGUGGACGCAUCGUAAGGUGUGGAGCUGACUGGUACUAAUAGACCGAGGACUUUCAUUAA
rnacentral:rRNA from 1 species